rnacentral:lncRNA from 1 species
AGACACAACCUGGCACCUGACAGCAGGGAGACUGAGACCGAGCUCGGCUCCCCGGAUCCUGAGAGAAUGUAAGUAAAGAAGCAGGAAGCUGAGACGCUCAAAAUUAGUAGAAAAAAAAUACAUAACAUUUAAAUAAAAUCAAAAUUAAAAAAAUAAAGGCUAAAAUGCAAGUAAACAUGGAAAGCAAACACAUCGGUAACAUCGUUCUCAGAGCAAAAGACAAAGAGAGAAUUUAAAAAUAAGCAAAAAUUACAGAGAACCAAUCCUAGAAAGAAGAAAUUACAAACCUUGCUAAAAGAUGCAAUCCUACAAUUGUGAUAUCUCUGUCAGAUCUAAACCGGUACAUGUUACACCUAAGUCUACAUUUCCUACGAAAACAAAAACAAAAACAAACAACACCAACAAAAAAAAGCAGUCACGGUUAAACCUUUUUUACUACGACUUAAAAAUCGCAGUAGCUGGUCUAUUCAGACUUGGUCCACAAGAGGAAAAAGUCGCGUUCGGCAGGACUUGCUAUUGCCAAACGGAGCUUGGUAACCAGAAAUCGCGUUUGCGGACAUUUCCUGACUUCCAUGGGAGUUUAAAAUACACACAAGCUUAGCUAAGGUGGGACUCAAUAUUGCGAAAACAAACUUGGUAUAAGAGCUCCCAGGCACUGCUAAACUGAUCAUCGGUAAACCUAAAAAAAAUCGCAUUCGCGGGUACCCAGAUUUCUUUUUCUUUUCUUUUUUUUUUUUUUUUUUUUUUUGAGUUGGAGUCUCGCUCUGUCGCCCAAGCUGGAGUGCAGUGGCGCGAUCUCGGCUCACUGCAAGCUCCGCCUCCCGGAUUCACGCCAUUCUCCUGCCUCAGCCUCCCGAGGAGCUGGGACUACAGGGACCCGCCACCACGCCCGGCUAAUUUUUUUGUAUUUUUAGUAGAGACGGGGUUUCACCGUGUUAGCCAGGAUGGUCUCGAUCUCCUGACCUCCUGAUCCGCCCGCCUCGGCCUCCCAAAGUGCUGGGAUUACAGGCGUGAGCCACCGCGCCCGGCCGGUACUCCGAAGCCCUCAGAUCGGCGACCUGGGCGCUGUAGGCACCGAGAAAAUACAGGCACCGAGCCAGAAGCAGUGCCGCAACCAAGAGACCUCGGCUUGGCGAAAUGGCGGCGUCUGGAGCCUGCGAGUGACGCCAGCUGGUGGGGCUGUCAAGGAGAACAUUCGUUACGGCGCAACCAACGGUACUGUCACCAAGAAACCGUCGUCUCUGAGAAAAAAAGAGACGUUCGGCCGCCGAGAAACUCCGUACAAGUGCUGUGACAGAAAAACCGCCGGCUCCGCGCAGCGGCAAAAGAGCCAACGGGAACGCCGGGUGCUGCGACCAUGACCCCGGCACUGGAGGACGUGGGAUGGAGAAUGGGACACACGGAGCGAGAAGGGAAACGUUUCGUGCAGACCAACUAGCGCCGCCGCCACCGGAAAACUGACUCGCCAGUGCUGCCAAUGAAGUGCGUGUGAGAAACCGAUGACUGGUGGGAGGAGCAGCGCUGGGCGCUGGACCCGCGAGUGUGAGAAUCUGGCGGCGCUAGGACCCUUCAGGCGCGGGCACGAGGCGAAACCCAGCGCUGUUGCCAAAGACAAAUGCGCGUUCUUUUGGGCGCCAUCAGCGGUGCAGCCAGUGAUCACUCCCAGGCUCUGAGAAACUAGAGAUGUCAGCCACAAACCCUCCGUUCAGGGAAAGUUUGCGGCGCCGUGACGGAUCGACUGGCACUGGGUGCAACAUUGUCUUGUGGCCUAGAGACUAGAAUAUAAAAACAAAAACCAAAUACAAAACUGCUGCUGGCAUUACUCCUACUCUCCCCCCUCAAGUCAGUGGCUUCAGGCUUAAGAAAACCUGUAUUUUUCUUGGCUGUGCCAUAAUCCGUAAUUACCGAGGCCCCCAGCGACCCACCCAGUGUGAUUCGCAGAGGGAAAGGAGCUGGAAUAAGGACCGUGAAUGGGGCGGAUGUGGCUCGUCCUGGGAGAGAGCUAAAGCUUAUGCUGGUCGCAAACAGCAUUACAUUGCAGGAAACUGCUCUUCCAAUGGCCGUGGCUGGGUCCUUCCACACCAUCCCUCUGCCCUAGACCUUUGUCCCCGUUCAGAGCCAUCAGAGAUUCUAGGAGAGCUGUCGACAACCGCAUCUCUUCGGAACUUGGAAACUCUAGGUUCAAGAUCUCCGUGGAGAAUGAAAGGCACAGUCGCCUGACCCGGGCAUCAGGCUUGCCCCGCACAUCAAGUCCCUCCCCUACUGGAUGGAACUCUGUGGCAAUCGCUCCUUAUUCUGAUGGUUCACUCUGUCAGAUAUCCUCGAUAUUUGGGGAUAGUAGUUCAAAAACAGCCGGGGAGGAAAAUGGGCUGAAAGAUUCCAGCGUUGGAUGUAGAAUUGACAGCGAGACAUACACCUCCUCUCUAAGCCCAGAGAAAAGCUCAAGUUGUGGUUCUCUGUCUCUAGCAGCAUGAUCUUCAAAAUGCAUCAUUGAUUUCUAUCUUCUGGGAAAUGCAAUGCAGGUGAACUUGUAAGUGCUCAAAUCCUCCAUCUCCUCACUUUUCAGACUGAGGCCUUUUUUUUUUUAAAUCUGAGAAGAAAUAUGGGACUGCCACUGCUCAGUAGGAAAAUGUCCUUUCCCACAAGCAUUUAUAUUUUAAUAAAAAUCUGCACUUUGUGAGUUGAGCCCCCUCAAAGAGACCUACAAACCCUGCCACAAAUAUCUCCAACCACACUCAUCAUUUCCGAUUUUCAUCACUGCUGCUCCUGUGCAAACCAAACUAUCCUUUCCCUGGGGCAUCCUAGGUAGAGGCCAUGCCAGGACAAAGGCAGAGAUAUGCCUGCCUGGUAAGGAAAUCCAUUUUGGCCUUGUAAUUCUCACCCUCUCCCAAGAUGUUUGCCUCAAUAUCUCCUUCCCACCUUACCCCGUCUUCAGCUAGCCAAAACAUUCCCUGGUAUUUGAGGCCCUUCCAAUUUCCUCCUGGUUUUGUGGGUGGGAGAAUAAAGAAAAAACUGCACUGUUCCCACCCACAUAGUUACAGCCACUUUAUCAAACGGAAGAGCAGUCUGGAGCCAUUGCAAAACAAAAUACCUGCCACAACUCCUCUCUUCUCAUUUCGACUCCAGCUUUUCAUCUUAGCAAAAAAGUUGCAAUCAGCACCCCCUAGACGGAAGGAAUAUCCUGUCUUAAUGGGAGUCCAUAGGAGGCUGCAGGCUGCUCCCCUACAGAGACUAACAUCAAGGUAGUUGCAGAAUUCAGAUUCUAAUUACAGUGUGGUUGGAGGCGGGGUGGAUUCCAGGGAGGUCAGGAAGAGGUAAAGUACAGAAUUGAGCUCCUUGGGAGGAGGUCAUAGGAACUUUGCAGUAUGAAAAUGGCUAGAGAUUGGGUAGAAUUGAGCAGGCUGGCAAUGGCAGUUUUGUGUGGGUGGUAGGACCUAGGAUUCAAACUUGAGGGCAAAUUGUGGAGCACAUACGACAAAUGAUGUAGAGCCUUUCCUAUUUCCCUUCCUGCUGUGUCAUCCGAAACAAUAAAUAAUAAAGAAUUAACAAAGACUGAUAUUUUUGUUCAAUUUCAUGAAGAAAAAUCUCAUCAAACUAAGAUAACUAUAAUGACAAAUCUUGUUAGAAUAUUAUUAACCAAAUGAAAGUGACACAAAACAGAAAAACGGUGGGAGGUGGGAGGGCCAAGAAAGAAAAAGUCCCCAACACUCAGGUGGUGUGUACAGGUGAAUCUUCUGGUCAGUUGGUAUGUUGCAGAAAGCUGGGCAACUAAUAAAUUAGGAGGCAGGAAUUCAUAUGAAUACUUUCCUGAUACAGAGAAACUCUUGGUUUUAACAAUCUACUUCUUUGUCAGGUAUUGGUUCUUGAUUUUAGGCUCAGAAAAGAUGGUAACAGUUAUAACUGUAGUAGAGCAGGUAAAAACAAAGAUCAUGCAGGAGUCUAGACAGAAAGUAAAAGGCAAAAAUGUCCCAGGGUAAGUAAUCUAGAGUAAGAAAGUGAAGAAUUCUGCUUGGUGCCAACGGAGGGCUCCACCAUGCCUCUGGUUCACCUACAAAAAAUGAACCAUUUGCUGUUGGUCUCUGGGAUUGAAGAUUCACCCUCCCAAUUUCCUGCCUGUCCUAAGCUUACCUGUAACUUAGAGGGUUUUGUGUCUGUUUUUUUGUUUGUUUUGUCUGUUUGUUUUGUAAAACACUCUCUACAAAUGUUUGAUAGAUUAUAAACCGCAGGAUCCACUAGACCCUGCAAGGUGCAGGGGAGCCCUGUGACUACCACUCCAAUGCACCUCCACACAUGUUCUUCCUCCUAGUUCCUCCACAGAAUUUCUUCUUCCUGGUUCCAUUUGCUGUAGUAAUUUGGGGCUGUAUUCACUGACAAGUUCCAAAAGUUUACCCAAUUUUGGUGACCGAUAAACUCUUGACUAACAAUUAUGUGUGUGUGUUUGUCUUUCCUGUAGGAGGAAAUCAGUGGUGCUUCAGGAUAUUGUGAAUUUGGUCUUCUGAAAGCAGAAUUCUGAUUUAACAGUAUAAUGGAAUUCGUGAACGUCAUGAUGCUAAUUUGAACCAACAAGCACCCUUGUGAGAGGAAUCUGCUUUUCCUCAAGUCUGAAGAACACCAGGAGAAUCUUUCUGUAUGGAGUUACCAGGAAUCCUCUGCUAAGGAAAGUGAAAGGGAAGAUGCAAUUUCUCCUGGGAAGGGGGGAUGCUGAUGUAGAGGGUGACAAGUAAUAUGCCAUGAAGGAUUCAGUCACCUGGUUAGAUUUAGAGUUAGAGUUAUGGUUAAGGAAGAAGGAAGGAAAAAAGGCAGAAGAGGAAGAAAGGAAGCAAGAAAAGAUAAAAUUUAUUCUAAGAUAAAAUUUGUGAAUUUUGCUAAACUA